UACGUAGGGUGCAAGCGUUGUCCGGAAUUAUUGGGCGUAAAGAGCGCGUAGGCGGUCCGAUAAGUCGGCUGUGAAAGUCAGGGGCUCAACCCUUGGAAGCCGGCCGAUACUGUCGGACUAGAGUCCGGAAGAGGCGAGUGGAAUUCCGGUGUAGCGGUGAAAUGCGCAGAUAUCGGGAGGAACACCAAUGGCGAAGGCAGCUCGCUGGGACGGUACUGACGCUGAGGCGCGAAAGCGUGGGGAGCAAACGG
rnacentral:rRNA from 1 species